UCUCUGAUAGUAUAUCGGUUAGUACACGCGCCUGUCAUACUCUGAAGCACCACAUCCGCGCGAAAGCUGGGUUCGACUCCCAGUCAGAGAG